ensembl:snoRNA small nucleolar RNA SNORA15
GCAUGGACGAAUUCUGUAUUACUCCGAAAAUAGUAAAUGCAGUCAGACACCAUGCGAAAUUAUUGUUUCACACCGACUCAAAAUAAGGAUAAGUGCUUACCACAUGCCUUAUUCUUAUGCUGGAGUGAACACAGCU